AUGGAUGAUGAAGAAGUAGAAUUGGUGCUUGCUAAAAGUAAAGCAGGCAUACUUGAAGUACGCAAUUACGUCCAUGGCCAGCCAUUUCUUGUUGGUGAAUACUUUGAUGAGUGCAGCUCCAGUUGUCGCAAGUUACAUGAAUAUUGCAUGGAUCAAAUGUCAACAGGUCUUUAUGGUUUGCUAGUCCACUUCAACAGAGAUCAUUUCCGACACAAUGCUAGUUCAUUCGAUGUGAGUUUCAAGGACUUACAUCUCUUCUUCAACUUCAACGAGCUUGAUGCCACUCUUGUUAGAUGCCUGAUUUUGGGAUUGUACGCACGGAGAAGAAAAAGGGAGAAUGUGUAUUUCAUAGAUCCUGCAUUAGCAAAUGGCACAACAUUACAUGGUAAGGACGAACAGGACUGGGCCGUUAACACGGUCGUCCGUAUCUUCAAAAACACGUCCCAUGCAGAAUCAUUUCUCUGGCCAUAUCAUGAAAGGUUCAUGGAUUUCUUAAUAUGUAUCCAUCACUGGAUAUUGGUAUUCAUUGUUCCAAACAAGAACACAGUUUACUACAUCGAUUCUCUCAGUGAGUCAACAAACGCUCAGGAUCUGACGCAUCUUCAGCAAUUCAUGGAUAGUGUGCUCGCAUUGUGGAAAACUAAACUAGGGAACCUGUUCAAGAGGGAACUACCUCUGCAGCACAAGAUCGUUUCUCCGUGUCCUCAGCAAGAAGCAGGGAGCAACCUUUGUGGAUACUAUGUUUGUAGACACAUGAUCUCCAUCUGCAAAUUUGCUGAUAGUUGUGAUCAUCCUUGCGAAUUAGUACCACUCAUCUUAGAACCGAGGACCCCUGAAUCGCUCCCGGCUGGUAAAUUGUUGAUGAUUUGGAGAUUUAUCAGUGACUUCUUCCUGAAUUACUACAUCAAUCCCACUGGUGAUAAUGAAGAUUUCAGCAUGCCUUUUCCUGAAACAAUGAGAAAUGUGUGGGAUCCCAAACGAAAAGCACACGUCACUCUAGCCACAACCGUCGGUGAUACACAACAAAUCACAAACGGUCUGCAGCACUUGUAUGUGUGCGAAGGGGCUCCUGAACCAUUUGUGAUUGAACCUUAUCGCAGAUGUUCAUAUGAUGGCCCGUGUGCCUUGCAUAAUGUUUCCCAAAUGCUGCCAACUGCGCUAGCUGGUACUAGUACAGAGUCAGCGCUCACCGGAGCAGCUCAUUGGGACAGUUGGAAAUCACGUGACCCUCUCGGCCCACAUGUCAGGUUGUGGGCUUUUCCUUUUGCAAAGCACUGGCCGAGCCUGCCCCAGAUCCAGACCGCGUCCCUUGCUCCUCUCUCCAUCUUGUCUUCCUCCUUCAGAUCCAUACGCGGCGCGUCCUGCUCCUCUCUCCAGCUCGCCUGCUCUAUGGACGUGUUCAUGCAAGCGCAGGCCGAUGCGGAAGACAGGAUUAACCAUGGGCAGUUGGGUGGUGUUGCUGCGGCGCGGCCUGUUGAAUUUGAAUCCCAGGCUUCUAUCAGCAUCGCCGAGGCCCGAGGGGGACAUUUGCCGUGCCGGAGACCAAUGCAGCGGCGAGUAAGGAUCAGGAAAGCUCCUGCAGAGCAUGAGCUCAACCCUACCCGGAAAAGUGCCCUUGAACUAUCCAUGAGGGUGUUCAUAACAAAACGAGAUGGCAAUGUUGUCAACCCAGCUGUCGGAACAUCCUUCGAUUAA
rnacentral:rRNA from 1 species